AAGAAAGAGCAUAGUAGUCACAUUGUUGGAUAUUAUAAAUGGUUCUAUAGCUGUUCUGAGUUGAUGGUGUGGAUAAAUAUUAUUUUCUUCACAAAGUGUGGCGGCAGUCACCACAUUGUCUUCAAUCGUGUUUUAUGUUUCUGGUGGAUUCCUAAAGCAAUAUUGGCAGUUUUGUAUUUGAUGACAAAGAUUUCAUCAUUUAAGGUUUCAAUUUGCAUCACGGAAAGCUUAGUUGUUCUCUUGAAUAUCUCAUUUGGCAUAGCCAUCAUGUGAUAAGGAUAAAGAGACCAUCUUACAAAAACAGUUUUUUGGAGGAUCCACUUCUUUCGAAUGGUGUGGUAAAACAAUUAGAUUCUGAUGACCUAUUGCCACCACCGACUGAUAUGGGUCCUUCUUCCUGUCAUGAUGUGAUUUUGUCCUGGUGGCAAGCUCAACUGAGUAACAAUGGCUCUAAUCUAUCUUUGUUUAGAGCACUCUGUAGUGCAUAUGGAUGGCCAUACCUCUGCCAGGGUUUAUUGAAGGUAUUUUUCAAUACGAAAUCGUGUUUUCCUCCCACACACUGGAUAAAUCUUAGUUGAUGGAAACCAAAGCUUGUGCGUCACUCUGUAGUCUUUAUACGCAAUAUUUAUACCAUAUGACUGUGAUGGACUGCUGGAAUAUAACUCGUCCAAGUAAUACCUUCUUCAACACUUUCAUAUUUCCAAUUCCAACAUGGGAUUCUAACUUUUUCUGUGGAGAUGCAAGUUAGCCUUUUUAUCUUCAAAUGAAAGGAAAUUUAAUGCCUGUCCAGUAACUCAGUAAGUUUAUGUGUACAGAAGAUGCUUUUUGUUUUGAACUAUGCAUUGAUUCCUGUAACAAGCUAUGGUUCAAGGGCUAUCAAUCAAAUAGUGGUAGUUUCCCAACUAAUCUGAUAGAUAACUGAUUGUUUAUGUACCUAGAAAUUUCGGUUGUGCCACUAGAAAAUAUAUUGAUGGUAUGACAUCGUGCAUGACAUAGCAUGUUUUACUUGUACCUUGACAUCUUUAUUAGAACAAUAUGACCAUUUUCAAUUUUUAAAUAAGUAGAGAAUUUUGGAUAGUUUGUAUAUAGAAUCCCAUGG